rnacentral:lncRNA from 1 species
UGCGACGUUUUUACUCGUUGAUUUUGCCCAACCCUGGCGUUCAAAUAGCAUAUGAUAGAGUGAUAUUUCGUUAGCAAUUAAUUCACGUCAUGUUCUCGCACAUAAAGUAGUACUUUUCAUAUUUGAAAGAGAAUUUUGACUCGGGAAAUAUUACCAGCAUAUAUUUGUUGAAUGUUAGUUAAGUAAAGUGAUGUCAUGACCUUUGAUCAUAUGAUGUCAUAUUUCCAAGUAUUUGUUGCAUAAUCAAGGUUUUGUUAUUGCAAAAUACCAAAAUCAAACCAUAGCGAAGGCGGAAGUGUUUCAAAACCUCGUCUGUCUCUUGGUUUCGAUAUAUUUGCUUCACAAUGUAAGAUAAACCUUACCAAAAGAGAUCAUUAGUAUAUCUAUUUCUACAAUAGAAAGCAGAGCAAAGUUUUGUCAGCUGUAAAUAUUAUGGCUUGUUGCCCGACGGAAAAGGAAUAUGGCUACGAAGAUAGCAGGUUUGAGAAAGAUGUCGACGAAAAUUUUCAUUGUUCAAUCUGCUACAAUGUUCUUAAAGAACCAAG